AUUUAUACAAAAAAAUAUUAAUUUCAAAAUUUUUGCUUUAAAAAGCCUUAACCUCUCAACUUUUACCCUUCAAAGCACGUAUUCUCGCCAAAAAAAAUUUAUUUUUAAAUUUUGAAGAUCGCUUACAAGAUCUUAAACUUGCGAUCCCAGCCUUCACUUAUCUGGUCUGGUGACUUUUCGGGUACAAGUACAAGCAUUUAAGGUAUUUAUGUAUGAAGAUAACCGAAUAAGAAACAGACAAGCUAAUUGAGCAGACGCAUUUACAAGAGCAUUACAUGUGCAACGACGCUCGCCUUAAUAUUAUACUUACAGACAAACAUUUAUUUCAAAAAGAAUAUAUACAUAUAUAUGUGAGAUAUAGAGUUUACCUAUGUAUGUAUGUCGGCCUGCUUACAGCUGUUUAAAUAAAAAAGCUAGUAUAGAUGUCAAGUUCACUUAGCUCGCUGCUUUUGGAGCGAACAAUUAAAUUAUAAAAAUUUGGAAUAACAACAACAAACACUCAAAGCCGAGAGCAGUAAAAGUUCACUACCACCUGACUGUUUGGGUAUGUGCGUGUAAGUAUCUAUGUAAGUCGGUAUGUUUGGCGUGAUUUACUGACUAGAAAAUCGCUGGCUUCAAUGUUACAGAAUAAUAUACAAAAAAUAAAAAUAUAAAAACGUAAAAUACCAAAGAGAUAACAAAACGUGGUUUAGGCGCCGAAAUAUUUGCAUUACAGCGAAAUAUAAAAAAAAAAUUACGACAUAGUUACCUGCUUGCUGGCGUUAGUGUGUUUAUCUAUAUACAAGUAUGUAUGUAUGUGUAUAUAUUUAGGUAUGUCAAUAAAUACUCGCGGCAUUUAAGUAAAUACGAGUGCUCAUGCUGAAGCGAUUUUAUCAACGACUUUCAAUUGCCUCUCAGGGACUUUGCACGUUUUA